UACAGAGGAGCCAAGCGUUGUCCGGAUUUACUGGGCGUAAAGGGCAUGCAGGCGGUCGGACGCGUUUCGGGUGACAGCGGGUGGCUUAACUACCCGAGUGGUCGAAAGACGGUUUGACUUGAGGACGCGAGAGGGACACGGAAUUCCGGGUGGAGUGGUGAAAUGCGUAGAGAUCCGGAGGAACACCGAAGGCGAAGGCAGUGUCCUGGCGCGUAACUGACGCUGAGGUGCGAAAGCCAGGGGAGCGAACGGG
rnacentral:rRNA from 1 species